rnacentral:rRNA from 1 species
AAUAAGCUAUUUAAGAGCGUAUGGGGGAUGCCUAGGCUCUCAGAGGCGAAGAAGGACGUGAUAAGCUGCGAUAAGCUGCGGGGAUUGGCACACACAAUUUGAUCCGCAGAUUUCCGAAUGGGGAAACCCACUAUAUUGAAGAUAUAGUAUCCGUUAAGGAGGUAAACCCAGGGAACUGAAACAUCUAAGUACCUGGAGGAAAAGAAAACAAAAGUGAUUCCGUUAGUAGUGGCGAGCGAACGCGGAUUAGCCCAAACCAAAGUUGUUUCGGCAAUUUUGGGGUUGUAGGACCACGACAUUGAAUGUUUAAUGAAUUA